rnacentral:rRNA from 1 species
UACGGGGGGGCAAGCGUUGUUCGGAAUUACUGGGCGUAAAGGGCUCGUAGGUGCCAACUAAGUCGGACGUGAAAGCCCCGGCUCAACUGGGGAGGGUCACGCGAUACUGCUCGACUUGAAGGCAGGAGAGGGAAGUGGAAUUCCCGGUGUAGUGGUGAAAUGCGUAGAUAUCGGGAGGAACACCAGUGGCGAAGGCGACUUCCUGGCCUGUUCUUGACGCUGAGGCGCGAAAGCUAGGGUAGCAAACGGGG